GGGCAAUCCUGGUGGCGAGUGGCGAACGGGUGAGUAAUAUAUCGGAACGUGCCCAGUCGUGGGGGAUAACGUAGCGAAAGCUACGCUAAUACCGCAUACGAUCUAUGGAUGAAAGCGGGGGAUCGCAAGACCUCGCGCGAUUGGAGCGGCCGAUAUCAGAUUAGGUAGUUGGUGAGGUAAAGGCUCACCAAGCCGACGAUCUGUAGCUGGUCUGAGAGGACGACCAGCCACACUGGGACUGAGACACGGCCCAGACUCCUACGGGAGGCAGCAGUGGGGAAUUUUGGACAAUGGGCGCAAGCCUGAUCCAGCAAUGCCGCGUGCAGGAUGAAGGCCUUCGGGUUGUAAACUGCUUUUGUACGGAACGAAACGGUGAGCUCUAAUACAGUUUGCUAAUGACGGUACCGUAAGAAUAAGCACCGGCUAACUACGUG
rnacentral:rRNA from 1 species